UAAUCCAAAUGUAUGUAUUAACCCUAGUCAACAUGCAAGCACCAUAUGAAACAUCUUUUAAAGGACUGAAAUGAGAAGGAAGAGUACCAGCAAAGUUUGCAGAUCCCAUAAUGUUUGGUUGAGUCUGAGAUUCUGAAAUCUGAGUCUGUUGAAGUAGCAUCAGGAGCUGUGCAUAUUGAUCCUUUGUUAGCCCAGGUAUACCAGCUUCUGAACUAGAUUGCCCCUGACUACCCUCACUUGAGCUUGAAGAAUCAACUGAGCUUGCACAUCCUUGUGUUUCAACAUUAGCAGCAACUCUUUUGUUUCUAGUAAACUUGAAAUCCGAUGGGAAUCC
rnacentral:lncRNA from 1 species